rnacentral:rRNA from 1 species
UGGGGAAUAUUGGACAAUGGAGGCAACUCUGAUCCAGCAAUUCUGUGUGUGUGAAGAAGGUUUUAGGACUGUAAAACACUUUUAGUAGGGAAGAAAGAAAUGACGGUACCUACAGAAGAAGCGACGGCUAAAUACGUGCCAGCAGCCGCGGUAAUACGUAUGUCGCGAGCGUUAUCCGGAAUUAUUGGGCUUAAAGGGCAUCUAGGCGGUUAAACAAGUUGAAGGUGAAAACCUGUGGCUCAACCAUAGGCUUGCCUACAAAACUGUAUAACUAGAGUACUGGAAAGGUGGGUGGAACUACACGAGUAGAGGUGAAAUUCGUAGAUAUGUGUAGGAAUGCCGAUGAUGAAGAUAACUCACUGGACAGCAAAUGACGCUGAAGUGCGAAAGCUAGGGGAGCAAACAGG